UGUCCUUGUUGUGGUCCAGGUCGUUCAUGAGCCUCUUGAACUCCACCUCGUCCAUUUGCUUCUGCGACAGGAGGAGAGCAAGUUGGGGGUCCUUCGUCAGCACCCAGAAGGUGUGCUCAUCCAGUUGUUCCCGGCACAGAGCAUCAGCAGGGGACAAGGAUGGUGUUCACCAACCAUGGCACAGGAAACGUGUCUUCCUUCUCCCAGAGAGGUGGUGGCUGGAGAGGACCAUGGGGCAACAUAUUUGGGGCAUUUUUCUGAAAUCUACCGAACCUUGCGCCACGUGGGACCUGGAGGCUGGUGCAGCACCAGGGCUGGGUGAGCUGGGUGCCCGGAGCUAAUCCCACCGGGGACAUGAGGACCAGAGCGUGGGUCUGAGCCCCCUAAACUGGAGCCUGGCAGCCCCCUCCCCAUGUUGUCCCCCUCCCCACCUGCCCUAUGGUGCGAUGCAAAGUGCCCCAGGGAUCUCCAGGAGGAACAGGGGCACAGAAACCACCCCCUGCCCACACUGAUGCCCCCACAACGCUCCCUCUGCCAUGACAGACCCCUGAACACUGGUUCAGGAGCCCCUCCUGUGCCCACCCCCUGGGUUCCCCAUGCCCCCCAGUUUGCUCCCAGCAGCC